CACGGGGGGAGCAAGCGUUGUUCGGAAUUACUGGGCGUAAAGCGCGUGUAGGCGGUUAUGCAAGUCGGGUGUGAAAGCCCGGAGCUCAACUCCGGAAGUGCAUUCGAUACUGCGUAGCUAGAGUACUGGAGAGGAUGGUGGAACUCUCGGUGUAGAGGUGAAAUUCGUAGAUAUCGAGAAGAACACCGGUGGCGAAGGCGGCCAUCUGGACAGAUACUGACGCUGAGACGCGAAAGCGUGGGGAGCAAACAGG
rnacentral:rRNA from 1 species